UGUCUGAAAAGUCUCAUUGCGAUGGAUUUAAGGUUUGGAUAUCGGUUUAUUCGUGUAAUCUUCGUACUAAUGCAAGCUCCAAUGUUAUGAGUGUUUAUGAGGAAUUGACUGAAGUGUUUUGCCUAGUUGCAGGCACCUAGGCAAGGAUAACAAAUUAUGACGGUCUUCUCACAUCAGCGAUUAAUGGUCAGAUGUCUGAUGAACAAGUGGACCUGAAGCUUCAAGAGCAGAUUUAUUUCAGGAUGCUUGUUUUAUUUUGCAAUCCAGCUGUAAGGUGAACCAGAUAAACAAACUCUUUUAAUAA